GCCGCGGUAGUGUAGUGGUUAACAUGCGUCGUUCGGGUGUUUUUGACGCUCUUGAAUUCGACGAGGUCCCGGGUUCAAAUCCCGGCUGCGGCC